AUCCAUUGUUCACAGAGCACCUGCUGCAUCCCGAACCCAGCACAGGACUGUCAACACUUGGUUUAACCUCCUAGUCAAAGAGUUAUUACACCGUUUCUCCACUUUACAGAUUAAAGCAACAGGGCUUAGAAAAUUAUCAAGCCAUAGGUGAGUAGGCACAAAUUUAAGGCUCAAAUAUGGAUGAAACCUCAACAUUUGCUCCAAGCAACUAUGUUCUGCAUUAACACUGGGGAGCAACCAACCAGAGCCGGGACAAGGAUUGGUAAAACAAUCUCUGAAAAGGUACUAUGAUGCACUCAGUUGACGCUGGCAGGCCUGCCCCAGUGUUCCUGUUCAGCAUCUCUAUCGUAGAGAUGCUGGCUCGAGCGUACUAUCCCAUGGGGAUGGGCCCAAGCAAUGGCUGAGCAGUUGGCAGUGUGGACAUCCAGCCCAUUGCCUAGGGUGGACAUGCUCGGAGGAGCACAUCACUUACCUUUAGGGGCUUCCAUGGAUCAGGCAGGAGCUUUCCUUCUUCAGGGGUCUCUCCACCCUACCCAGCUUCUCUCGCUCCCUUACCAGUUCCACCUGGGGGUGGGUCUUUAAGUCACUGCACCUGUUUUUGUCUCCUGAUUUGUUUCUAGAGUACUUAGAUACCAUCCCUGCCCUUACUUGUGUACAAAAGCAGCAUUCUGAUUUGUGACCAUCCUGUGGAGUGGUCAGGAGUCCUGUGCCAGUUUGGUCGUAUACACCUGUAAUCACAAGAGACACAACACAAACAGCAGAGGAUAGCAAGUUCAUGGCAAGUUUAGCAGUAUGAACUGUCUCCAAAAAAGCAUUAACAAGUGAGUGAUUCCUAAGAAGUCAUAAAUACUUUCAACCCUUCCUAGUUAGAGACCCACCCAAUACUUUCAAAAACAACACAUUAAAACCUUUAAAAAAUGUUGUCUGUCUUGAUUAGAAUUUGGAUGGUCCUUUUUAUGACAUUGGAAGAUAUAAUACAUUUUUUAAUCUUUUUCAACACACACUAAAGUUCUUCUGAGAAUAUUACAAGUUGGAACAAUUUAAUACAAAUAGUUAAGUGGUAGAAUUGUCACUAUCACUUUAGAUGAAUUUUAUUUACAUCAAAACCAG
rnacentral:lncRNA from 1 species